CAAGUCGAACGCGAAAGUCCCGCAAGGGAUUAGUAGAGUGGCAAACGGGUGAGUAACACGUGGGUGACCUGCCUUCGAGUGGGGGAUAACGUCCCGAAAGGGACGCUAAUACCGCAUGACAUCCUGCCUUUGAAGAGGCGGAGAUCAAAGCUGGGGAUCGCAAGACCAAGCGCUCAAAGAGGGGCCCGCGCCUGAUUAGCUAGUUGGCGAGGUAACGGCUCACCAAGGCAACGAUCAGUAUCCGGCCUGAGAGGGCGGACGGACACACUGGGACUGAGACACGGCCCAGACUCCUACGGGAGGCAGCAGUGGGGAAUUGUUCGCAAUGGGCGCAAGCCUGACGACGCAACGCCGCGUGGAGGAUGAAGACCUUCGGGUCGUAAACUCCUUUCGAUCGAGACGAAUGGCCUCCGGGUUAACAGCCCGGAGGAGUGACGGUACCGAGAGAAGAAGCCCCGGCUAACUCCGUGCCAGCAGCCGCGGUAAUACGGGGGGGCAAGCGUUGUUCGGAAUUACUGGGCGUAAAGGGCUCGUAGGCGGCCAACUAAGUCAGACGUGAAAUCCCUCGGCUUAACCGGGGAACUGCAUCUGAUACUGGAUGGCUUGAGUUCGGGAGAGGGAUGUGGAAUUCCAGGUGUAGCGGUGAAAUGCGUAGAUAUCUGGAGGAACACCGGUGGCGAAGGCGGCAUCCUGGACCGACACUGACGCUGAGGAGCGAAAGCCAGGGGAGCAAACGGGAUUAGAUACCCCGGUAGUCCUGGCCCUAAACGAUGAAUGCUUGGUGUGGCGGGUAUCGAUCCCUGCCGUGCCGAAGCUAACGCAUUAAGCAUUCCGCCUGGGGAGUACGGUCGCAAGGCU
rnacentral:rRNA from 1 species